UACAUGUUGUUUUUCCAUAAUGUAAACCAAUCAUUCGCGUCUUCUAUUCAAUCGGAUUCUAGAAUCAUUCUUUGAAGCAUCAACAUGAGUUGGCUUAUAACCAUUACAAUAUCUAGCUUGAACUUCCUAACCUUAACCUAUUAUGAAUCUCCUUUGUAAACUCGUCAGGC